rnacentral:rRNA from 1 species
UGGGAUUAGAUACCCCACUAUGCUUAGCCGUAAAAUAUUAACUCACAACUAUAAGCGCCUGGGAAUUACGGGCUAAGCCUAAAACCCAAAGGACUUGACGGUGUCCCACCCAACUAGAGGAGCCUGUUCUAUAAUCGAUAACCCCCGUUAAACCUGACCUCUCUUUGCUUUCUCAGCCUGUAUACCUCCGUCGUAAAUUCACCCUGUGAAUGCCAAAUAGUGUGAUUCAAUGCCCCUUCGCCAAAACGUCAGGUCAAGGUGCAGCCUAUAGAGAGGG